AUUGAACGCUGGCGGCAGGCCUAACACAUGCAAGUCGAACGGCAGCGGGGGGUAGCUUGCUACCCCGCCGGCGAGUGGCGGACGGGUGAGUAAUGCCUGGGGAGCUGCCCAGUCGAGGGGGAUACCAGUUGGAAACGACUGCUAAUACCGCAUACGCCCUGAGGGGGAAAGGUGAGGAUCUUCGGACCUACCGCGAUUGGAUGCACCCAGGUGGGAUUAGCUAGUUGGUGAGGUAACGGCUCACCAAGGCGACGAUCUCUAGCUGGUCUGAGGGGAUGACCAGCCACACUGGAACUGAGACACGGUCCAGACUCCUACGGGAGGCAGCAGUGGGGAAUAUUGCACAAUGGGGGAAACCCUGAUGCAGCCAUGCCGCGUGUGUGAAGAAGGCCUUCGGGUUGUAAAGCACUUUCAGCGAGGAGGAAAGGGGUGAUGCUAAUACCAUCAUUCUGUGACGUUACUCGCAGAAGAAGCACCGGCUAACUCCGUGCCAGCCGCCGCCGUAA
rnacentral:rRNA from 1 species